AUGAGGAUAUACCCUUGGGUGCGGCUCAACCUGGACCCAAACUCUCUCUCUCCCCGCCCCAGGUCCCAAGCACAGAGUAGGGAGUCAGUUGGAAACACUGUUAUAGAGAGAACAAACUUCAGCAAAUCUGGCUUGCCCUCAUUUCUCUCUCCUGCAGGCAUGUGGGAGAAAGACAGAACAAAACUCAAUACCAGUAACAUCAACGUCAACAGAAGUCCCCGAGCCAUCCAGCCCCUAGCAGCAAGCUGAGGAAGGCAAACCACGGAUUGAGGAGCCGGUAAACCGGGAUGGCGGCAGGAUGGAGUAAGCAAGGUUCAGCAGCCAGAGACCUUUCCUUAGGCCGGGGCAGUGACAUAAGCAAUUCUCCCAGAACCGCUUUGACACAGGCAAUAAAUCAAGUAAACAAGGCGAAAGGUCGCUGGAACCCGUCUCCAUCAAUCCGGGUGUGACUCUCCCAUAACCCGUGGGCCGGUGCCGGGGAGGAAGUCUUCUCAUCACAUCUUUCUGCUUGUGUGGUGGGAGGAAUUGCAGAAUUUGGAGGGUCAAAGUGGGGUAGGGGAAAAGAUAGAACUCAGGGGUUUGGAAAAACCCUAAUGAUUUUUUUUUUUUUUCCAGCUCUUCUUUUAGGGACUUCUGGAGACAGAAGGGGAUUAAAACUUGAAGUUAGUUAGGGAAGAGUAAAAACUCACAGCUAACUUAUUAGCUGGGUUUAUUUGAUUAAUCCUGGGGAGCGUGGAUCACAAUUCAAUCCAACAAAAUUUACUGGAGAAUGGAGAGUUUAAAAAAGAUUUGAAGCCAGAGGCUCUACCCCCAUUCCUUGGAUAGUGAGAAGGGCUAGAAGCUGCUUUGUUCUGGGAAUAUAGAAGUCCCAGGGCAGGUGGAGUCGGCCCAAGACCUGCUUCCUUCACAGAUCUGAGUCUUCUAUUUUAGCUUGACUUUCUUCUGGCUCCACUCACUCAUUCUUUCAUUCCACAACUAUUGGGGACCUACUAUGUGUUAGGCCUUUGCUAGCGCUAUGCAUUGAGUACAGCAAUGAACAAGAUAUAGGAGAUCUCCAACUUCUGAAACUUACAUUCUAGUUGAAGAGCAGACAGUUGAAAAGUAAACAAAGCAGUAGUGGAAUUACUGGAUUAUAUGGGAUUUACCCAAAGAAAAUAAAAACACUGAUUCGAAAAGACACAUGCACCCCAUGUUUACUGCAGCAUUUUUACAAGAGCCAAGAUGUGGAAGCAGCCCAGGUGUCCAUGGAUAGACGAAUGGGUUAAGAAGAUGUGAUAUAUACACAAUGGAAUAUCACUCAACCAUAACAAAGAAUGAGAUCUUGCCAUUUGCAACAACACGGACGGAUCUAGAGGGUAUAAUGCUAAGUGAAAUCACUCAAUCAGAGAAAGACAAGUACCGUAUGAUUUCACUCAUGUGGAAUUUAAGAAACAAAGAAAAAAAAAGAGAAACAAGCAAAAAACCAGACUCUUAACUAUAGAGAAGAAACUGGUGGUCACCAGAGGGGAGGUGGGUGGGGGGAUGGGUGAAAGAGGUGAAGGGGAUUAAGAAUACACUUAUCAUGAUAAGCACUGAGAAAUGUACAAAAUUAUAGAAUCACUAUAUUGUGGACCUGAAACUAAUAUAACACUGUGUGCUAAUUAUACCUGAAUAAUAAAAAAAGGGUAAACAAACCAAAUGUAAACUGAAAAGUUCUGGGAAGCAGUGAGUGCCAAUGAGCAAGAAAGUCCUCUUUGAGGAAGUGACAUUUAAUUCCAGAUCCGCAGAGAAGGAUUACUCACUGUCUCUUUCACAUCUUGUGUGAGAUUUAUGUGUGCAUUUAUUCAUUAAUCAAACAUUUACUGAAUGCCUUUAAUGGUCAGGCUUAGUGCUGGGUAAUACGCCCCCACCCCCCAAAUGAGUAAGUCAAGGACUCUGCCUCAGAAGAGGUCAUAGUCAAGUGGAGAAGACCGACAAGUCAGCAAGAAAGUGAUUUCAGGGUAAUACGAUACAGAUGAUCGGACCUAGAUGAUCUCUAAGCGGCAUUCCUAUGUCUAAACGUUCUAUUGUCUAGUAAGUUCUUACUGCUAUGUUUAGUACUUUGGGGAUGCUCAUUGUCUCCAAGGAUCUUAUAAUCUAACCGAUGGCAUGCAUGUUUGAAAAUUUCCUAUCUCAGAAACCAGGCUAUAGCAAAUUAUUCAUAUGUUUUCAGUUCAGCCCCUAUCUACUUGGCUUGUAAAAAAUCCAUCAGGACUAGCACCUCUCCCUUAUCCAUUUUUGGAUCCCACCCAGUCAAUGGAAGAUGUAUGUGCACUCCUUUAUUUUUUCAGGGUCCUGUGAGGGGGUCGGAAUUAGGAUUUGGGGACCAUCUAUCCGUUAAGGCUUUGAGCAAGAUAACUCCUGGGUCUCAGCUACAUGUCUGCAUCUACUUAAACUGAGGUUUAUUCUGAGUUGUAGAGAAGCUGGGAGAUAUCACACUGGAAAAUUAGUUCAUCUUCCAGAAACAAAGCCAUAGUGAGGUUGCUCUCGCUAGGGACUUCUAGAGCUGCUGACUGUCCUCUGAGAAAUUACAGAUACUGCCUUAAGACCUUCAAGCAGGGAAGAACGUGCUUCAUUUGAAUAAUGGUGGGUGGAUCCCCCACUUCCUCCUUUUAUCCCUUCUCUGUAACAAUCUGCAAUCUCGACCACCCCAUCCUCUGAUUUUUUGCUGAAAUCGCUUCCACUAAAUUCCCAAGGGACCUCCAUUUUAUCAAAUCCAUAUCCACUUGCAUCCGCGGAGGACUGACAUCUCUUGAAUUUCUGUCUUCCCUUGGCUUUUUGGGAUACCUUUCUUCCUUUGUUCUCCUGCGUUUCCAACUGCUCAUCUUUUCC
rnacentral:lncRNA from 1 species